CAAUACACAGAAAAAAUAUCUAUUGUCUCUAGAAGUUUCCUAUCCACCGCCAUAAAAAUCCCGUUCCCUCUCUCCUCUGCUUCCCAAAGCCGUAACAACCAUGUCAAACACUCAAAAAAGUCUCACUUUUUUUAAGUUCCAACACUAACCCACUUUACAAAACUCUCUCAAAAACUCUUAUUUUACUUCACUUCACAACAAUACCAUUACCAAGUCACCAGACUCUCCUGAAAUUUCACUGAAUACUCUGUCUUUGCGACUCUAAAGCCUCAAAAUUUCUCACUUUUUUUAAAGUUCUGACACAACACCCAAUUCAGAAAACUCUCUCAAAAACUCAAAUUUUGCAUCAAAUUCUCCAAUAAGACUCUGUUACUGUUACUGUUACUGUUUCGAUCCUAGGGAAAACAGAGCAAUGGAGGGAGUGAUGGUUAAGGAAGAAGAAACGGUGACGUACGGUGUGGGAUCAUCGUCCUCUUCAUCUUCGUGCAUUUCACCGCAACCAAUGGAGGGGUUACACGAGCUUGGCCCGCCUCCAUUUCUGACCAAGACCUUUGAAAUGGUGGAAGACCCAGCAACUGACUCGAUCGUGUCGUGGAGCGCAGCUCGCAAUAGCUUCGUUGUUUGGGACUCUCACAAAUUCUCCACCACCCUUCUUCCUCGCCACUUCAAGCACAGUAAUUUCUCAAGCUUCGUUCGCCAGCUCAAUACAUAUGGUUUCAGAAAGGUUGAUCCUGAUCGAUGGGAAUUCGCAAAUGAAGGGUUUCUGGCAGGGCAAAAGCAUCUAUUAAAGAACAUCAAAAGAAGAAGACAUGUCACACAGGGUACGCAACAACAAGGAGGAGGAGCUUGUGUUGAAUUGGGACAAUAUGGGUUAGAAGGUGAGCUUGAGAUAUUAAAGAGAGAUCGGGGCUUGCUAAUGGCCGAAAUUGUGAGGUUGAGGCAGCAACAACAGAAUUCAAGGGAACAAAUGAUUGCAAUGGAGGAUAGGUUACAGACCACAGAGAGGAAACAGCAACAGUUAAUGAAUUUUCUUGCUAAAGCACUUAAUAACCCAUCCUUUAUCCAGCAAUUUAGUCAGAUGAGUGCUCAAAGAAGAGGACUACAGGGUGUUGAAAUUGGACGAAAGCGUAGACUUACUGCAAGCCCAAGUGUGGAGAAUUUGCAAGAAGAAGACGUGUCUGUGUUGGCAGGCAGUAACCAAGUUGUGGACUUUACAAGCCAAGAUCAAGAAGAAAUGGCAACUAUGGAAACAUUUUUCUCAGCUGCCUUGGACAAUGAAUCAAGCAGUGAUAUCAAUGACCCAAUUGCAAGUUCAGUACCCACAAGAAGUGGUGCCAAUUUGGAUUCUGUCAAUGAGACCAUUUGGGAAGAACUAUUGAAUGAAGAUCUAAUCACUGAAAAUCCGGAAGAAGAAGCUGUGGUUGGUGAUAAGUCGGAAAUUGAUGUGGAAGUGGAGGAUUUGGUCGCAGAACCUGACGACUGGGGUGAUGAUUUCCAAGACCUCGUCGAUCAACUGGUUAUCUCAGGCAGUCUAGCCAACGGAAAUUUGUAUAAGGAGGGCAUUAAGCAUUGACUCAUUCCCAAGCUACAGCUACAGUCUCUGCUGUAUAUAUGCAUGUUUGAUACCUUGCUCAAUUAUCGUGGCUGGGAAGUUCCAAUUCAUUAAUUUGUAUAUGUAGAUAUCAGCUACGCGUAGAAACUUCAUCCAUGCAGAUGUUAGCUAUGUACAGAAAUUUCUCUUACAGAGAUACAAUGUGUUUCAGCUCAUUGCUUGGUGCAUAAUGGCUAUAAGGUCUGUGCGUAUUUGGCCAAGCUGCAAUUAAGGAUUUAUAUUCUUCUUGGUAAGUUUAGACUCAUAACUCGUUAGAAUAAGCACUACAAACACAUUUUUAUUUUUGGGUUGACUGUGGCCCGGAUACCCUGUGAACUAAGAUCUGUAUGCAAGCUGGUUUAGCUUUCGGCAACUAAUGGACAGGAAAGUUUGGUCUUGUUUCUGUCUCCGCAAUAAUUAUUUAUUGGCUUAGAUAUAUGCAUUUUCCCUAAUGUGUUACAGAUUGUAAGAGGCUGUGGGAUCCAUACACUAUAAAAAGGAAAAAAAAAACAUAUAUGAUGUAUAAGAAGCCUUCUCCUAUGAUGCCUUUCUUGUUUUUCCCUUUCUAUGGCUGUGUGGAUUACCCUGUGAACUAAGAGGUAUCUGUAUGCAAGCUGGUUUAGCUUUCUGCAACUAAUGGACAGGAAACUUUGGUCUUGUUUCUGUCUCUGCAAUAAUUAUUUAUUGGCUUAGAUAUAUGCAUUUUCCCUAGUGUGUUACAGAUUGUAAGAGGCUGUGGGAUCCAUACACUAUAAAAAGGAAAAAAAAAAAAAAAACAUAUAUGAUGCAUAAGAAACCUUCUCCUAUGAUGCCUUUCUUGUUUUUCCCUUUCUAUGGCUGUGUGGAUUACCAUCUGGCCAAAAAACUAUUAAGGUACCAUUUCUUGUGCUCAACUGAAACUUUAUCUGAUGUAACUUCUGAGUAGUUUAGUUGGAUAGUAAUGCCUUAUGUAUGUAGUUAGAUUAUGUUCAAUUCAGUUUUAUUUAUUUAUUUAUUUUUGGGAUUAAAUGAUAAAUUAAUCUUUAAUUCUGUAAAUCUUGUACUUACCAGUAGCUACAUCAAUGAAGGAGACUAGGAUGGGCCCUAUGGGAUAAUGAAGGAGACUAGAGAAAUAGUCUAGAGAUCAUAUCAUUCUUUGUUAUAAAAAAAAAAAGCCUUUUGUUUUUUGGGAUAAUGAAGGAGACUAGGAUGGGUCCUAUGGGUUUUGUCAGAAGUAGACAUGAAUGACAGAAAGAGCUAGGUGUUCAAUCUGGACCUAUGAAGUGUAAAAAUAUGGAACUAAUAAAAUAAAGGAAUUAGUAAAUUAUAAAAGAAUUGAAUAGAGAAAAAAGGUUCUCUUAAUCUCUUCUGUAUAGUAGAAGAGACAUCUCCUUGGUGAAGACUGUAGUGAAGCAGGGUAGGAUGACAUUUUGCUAGAGCUUCAGUUCUAAACUUCUAGUGAUUAUGGAUUGCAGCAGACUGAACUAACACAUGCACAUCAGGCCUGUUUGGCCUGUUUGGUUGGAUUGAUUGAAAAUAUGGAAAUGAUAAUUAAAAAAAGAAAGUGGUAAGAAAAUAUUCUUAUUUUCCUACUUGUCUGUUUCGUACAGAGGACAAAAUACAUAUAAAAAUUUCAUUUGUUUCUAAACUAUGUAUGAAUUUACUAUUAUACUUUUAUCAUAUAAGGUUGGUGGGGGUAAAAAUGUGAUUUGAUUAAUGCAUGGCUUGCGAGCAGGCUUUAUAAUAGGUUAAGGCACACGUCCAUACUUGAAUAAGGAAUAAAGCUUUUGGUGUUGGACAUCUAGAAUAAUGGCAAGCUUGAGUUUUGUUCUUAUUCGGAAUUUAGAACAAUCUGGUUUUGUAUCAAUUUUUGGAAAUAUGUUGACUAAACCAGAUCCAAGAACUUUUACCUCCAUACAAUAUUCCUUCAAAUUUUCCAUUAAUGAGUUAUAUGAGAAUGUGAGAAAAUAAAAAAGAUACAAAUAAAGAUAGAAGGCCUGAAAUAAUUUACCACCGAGGGGUGUGGUCUAGUGGUGUCAGGUGAAGCACAAGAUGCGCCAAGGGUAAGGUCCCAUGUUCGAGUCCGAAUAUGGACUUGCGUGGGAUUGCCUACCUUGGCAACUUAAGAUCACUAGUAUCCUUUGUGGGACUGGGAAGUUAUGGCUUACCGUAUUCUUUGCACCCUAGUAAGGCAUAGACCCAGCGGGUAGGUUAUUAUUAUGGUCACGGGUAGGAUUGUCAUGUUGGUUGCUCUCCUUACCCUUUUUUAUUAUCCAAAAAAAAAAAAAAAAAAAAAAAAAAGGCCUGAAAUAAUUUGCUUUAUUUGGGCCUUCAUAAGAAAUGGGUGUCAACAAUUUGUGAAGAUGACACCAUAUGAAAGUGAAAUUAUAUUAUUUCCCCUAUUCAUUUAUUUUGUGUAUAAGAAAAAAAUUUGAUAAAGUGAACGUAAAAUCAUCUGUUUUCUGUACGUUUUGAAGUGAAGAAACUUUGUGGAGCCCCCCAUGGAGAAAAUACCUUAUCUCUUUCUUUCCGUUGAGUUUUCUCCAACACUACCAAAAUAAUUAGGAAAAUGAUAAUGACCCCAUCGUUUUCUAUCCUCGGUUUUCCAUCCUCUCUUUUCCCUACACCAAUAGUAUUUAAUUCUAACAGACACAGCACUGAUAUAAUCACAUGAUUAAGCAUGUUAGAGACAAAGAUAAGAUGAGAAGGAAUCUCAUGCAAAUGUCAUUUUCAUUCCAAACAAAGGAUAUUCCUUUCUAAUGAAGACUAAUACAUUAAAAACGAUCUUUAGGCCGGUCGUUUCUAAUUAACAAUUACCUGACAUGAUGUACUAAGCUUAUAAGUUUAUUUGGACGACAACAACAACAACGCAUUAGUUUUUACCUCCAAAAGAAAGAAAAAAAAAUGCGUUAGUUUUAAUCUUAAGCUAUUAUGGACUUGAGUGGGCCGUAAAAAUUGAACUAUUUUGUUUUGCUAUUCUGAGAAGGUAUUUGAUUUUAUGUCAGAAUGUGACUUGAAAUGUCAAGCCUGGGACCUAAAUGGAGUAGGUGCCUUGUCUUCUUUCCAAUGCAACCAAAUAUCAGGCUUGGAUAUUGUGUUGUUUCAAGCCAGUUUGUCAAGCAGCGUGACUUUGAUAUCACAUCUCCUUGAAUGCAAUAUCAUGAUGAGGCAUGACUUUCUUGCAUGGACAGAGUAUUGCCUUGCCGACACACCAGAUUUUUUGCUCUAUAUAUACGCGCCUUCGUGUAGCAGAGAGAGUGAGCAAGAGAGUGGUGGAGCGGCAAUUGCUUGCAGAGAGGGAAAAUAACUUCUCUUUGCUAAUUUUGUAUUUGUGAAAGAGAGUAGCAUGGAGUUUAUUGGGGUUUGGGUACAGUGAGAGUGUGAUAAUUACCCCAUCUGUAUUCUCCACAUUUGUUAGUAAGAGAGUGGAUGUAGGCUAAAAGCAUAAUCAUGUAAAUCCUUUGAAUUCUCUAUUAUGUUUGUGAUUUUCUAUUUUCUUAU